ensembl:snRNA U6 U6 spliceosomal RNA
UCGCUUCAGCAGUGUAUAUAUUAAAAUUGGGAUGAUACAGGGAAGAUUCACAAGGCCCCUAUGGAAGGUUGGCAUGUAAAUUUGUGAACUGUUCCACUUUUAC